GAUGAACGCUGGCGGCGUGCUUAACACAUGCAAAGUCGAACGGAGUUUACAUGUGAGCGGAGGGUGCUUGCAUCUAACAAUCUUUUGUAAACUUAGUGGCGGACAGGUGAGUAACGCGUGGGUAACCUGCCGUAUACAGGGGGACAACGAGUUGGAAACGACUGCUAAUACCGCAUAAGCGCACAGGACCGCAUGGUCUGGUGUGAAAAACUCCGGUGGUAUACGAUGGACCCGCGUCUGAUUAGCUAGUUGGUGAGGUAACGGCCCACCAAGGCGACGAUCAGUAGCCGGCCUGAGAGGGUUGAAACGGCCACAUUGGGACUGAGACA
rnacentral:rRNA from 1 species